rnacentral:ncRNA from 1 species
AGGGACCUACGGGGCCCUAAUCUAACGGAAGACAGAAA